CAAGCUUCCAAGAAUCAUUUCUUAGUCACAGGAUGACACAGGGAGGCCGGCUGUUGGUGAUCUUUUCUACAGGUUCUCCAUUGCUGGCUCUUCGGAUGGCUUCCAUGAGCUAGCGGACAGAGACACGAGCGAGUGUCGUGCACAGGAGAGGAGGGUGUGUCUCGUCUCAGCCACCCUCCCGAGGUACAUUAAAUACUCACGUCUUUCUCGUAAGGAAAGCCCCCAUUCUCCAGCUUGGAGAACACUAGCUGUCCAUUGAUCUCAAUCUCGAAGGCCCCUGGUAGGAUAUAAAUGCAAGAAUGAGCUAAGAACAACAAGCAGGAGUUCAGGGAGGUCCUUGGCACCACCGCGAGUCCAAGCAAGACUGUUCAUGGUCUCGGCAGACACCAUUCGAGACCCGGUUUUCAGAUCCGAUCCAUUGAAGCCAUUCAGCCCCAAAACCCAGAGUCCUCACCAAUGCGUCUUUCCAAUACGCCAUUAAGAGUUCCUUCACUCCAAACCCACAGUAGGCAUUUUCGCUAUGUGUCAGACUCUAUUAGGGGCUUUAUAUAUAACAGCCAAUGUCAGCUCUAGAAGGUAGGGAGAGCUGGAGUUUUAUCACAUGGACUGACUCAGCAGGUGCUCUGCGGACCUCACCUGUCCCCCCGAGUCGCGACUCAAUCUCGAUGCCCGGAUACUCCUCCUUCACAGCGCUCGCCAGCUCCAGGGCUGCUUCCGGGUGUGACGCCACGCCAAAGUCACGUGGGGGGCGUGUCCGCGGGCGUGUCCGGACCUCGCAUUGCGUCG
rnacentral:lncRNA from 1 species